rnacentral:rRNA from 1 species
GACAGAGGCCCCGAGCGUUAGGCGGAAUCACUGGGCUUAAAGCGUGUGUAGGCGGAUCGUUAAGUGUCUUGUGAAAUCCCACGGCUCACCCGUGGAACUGCUGGGCAUACUGGCGAUCUUGGGCCAUUCAGGGGCGACUGGAACAAGCGGUGGAGCGGUGAAAUGCGUAGAGAUCAGGCGGAACACCCGUGGCGAAGGCGGCCAGCUGGGCCGUCCCUGACGCUGAGGCGCGAAGGCGUGGGGAGCGAACGGG